rnacentral:misc_RNA from 1 species
UGCCCUUUCCAUUUGUUCCAUCGAGGUUGAAGUGCUAGAUAUCUCUAAUUUGAAUUGUUAUAUUUAUUAAAACCAAAUACAGAGCCACAUAAGCUGCAGCAACUUGCGUUACCAGAGGAAUGAGGGUCAAAUAUUCAGAUUGCACUAGUUGUGACGACUGGCUUUUACCCAAAAACCUAUUGCCUGUGGACUGGGCUAGCUAUUGAGACAACAGAUACAACCUCCAUUUAUUGAUAAUAUAAUUAAUAUAUACAUAAGUUUUAUAAUCCUCAAUGAACUUGUGUUUAUUCAUCAUCAAGUAAAUGACAUUGUUCAUAGACUGGCACAUGAUAUAUCCUUGUUAAUUAGCUGCUUUUGGGGUUUUCCUUGGGUGGCUUCACAAUGAGAAUAGGACAUUGCACAUGAUGAGCACAAUAGUCGCUCACACUACCCAAGAAAGCCCUUUUAAUCUUGCCAAGUCCUCGGCUACCGAUUACUAGAAGGUCAACGUGCAAUUCAUGUGCAGUUUGACAUAUCAUAUCUUUUGGGUCCCCUUCUACAAUCAGAGUCUCCGCCUUCACCAUCUUUUGUUGGCAGAGAUGGAGUGCCCGAGAGAGUAUUCUAGUUGCAUUCUCCUGUUGUCCUUUUCUCACAGCUUCAACAACAGUAGGUGUUGCAAAGACAACAGGUCCAGCAGGAUAAACCAUGGGUGUAAAAGGAAUUUGGACAUUGAUGAGAGUGAUGAUAAUAGAAGGAUCAUUGAUCAAAUUAUCUAAUGCCCAUUUCAAAGAAUAGAAACUCUCUUCACUCUCAUCGAUAGCCACCAUUAUCAUCUUCUUCCUAGUAACAGGAGUAUCACUAGCUGCACUUGUCUCCGCCUCCAUGUAUUCUCUCUUGCCGCGUGCGUUUGAUCACUAAUUCUCUACUCUUUAUUUUUAUUUUUUUUUAUAAAUUUGUAUAGGCGUAAUAUAAAUUUUCUGUUGUGUGUAUAUUCCAGUGAUUGCAUGAGUCUUCAUGUGCAUGUGUUUCCAUGAUACUUCCUGUUUUCUACUGAACUUUUAGCUGGGUAAGAGUGAUCAAUUCUGUUUUCCAUGUCAAGCUCACUUCUAUUUCAUGAUUGUUUUGUGUUUCUUGGAAUCCAUUCACUUAAUCAAUCUUUUGGUAUUAGUAUUUGACUGAAUUGGGUAUUUCUAUUAUAAAAUGUUGGAAUACUGAUCGUUGCAAAUUGCAAUGGCUUCCCUGUUUGUCAAUGGUUUCUUAAGUUGGUGAAGGGUUGCCUCAUUUCAUGAAGUUUUCCAUGUCCAAUUUGGAAAAAUGAUGUGGAUCAUGCCCAUUUUUAUGCUCAUUUGUUAACGUUUUUUUUAUUAUUAUUUUUUUAU